rnacentral:lncRNA from 1 species
GUGCGUCCGACAAGCCCCUAGGGGGAGAAAGGAGAAGGGUGAAGGCCGGGCUAGUAGUCGCUGCCCGCUGGGCAGCAUCUGGAGGCCCGUGCGGGAUGCAGGCGAGGGGGAUGGAGCGGCGCCGCUGGAGGAAAUUGGCUUCCCAUGGGACCUGCAACUGUCUGGAAACAAAAAAAGAAGCCUACCAAAAGGGGAAAUUUAAAGGAGAGCAAGAAACCAUGAAGAGAGAGCCGAAAACGCGAAAAUGCCGACAAGCCCAAAGGAAAGCGGAGUGUCCUGUGUGCCACAUGGAACUCGGGGAAAGGAAAUGAUUAAAGCCGUGAGGUUUCCUGGCUCUUCGUGGUGUUUACGAGCAGUGGUUUUUAAACCACGGGUUGUCAACUAUUUGUUCAUCUUGAAACCAAUACUGUGGGGGAGAAAUAGCUGGUGUCAGAAAGUUUGCAAAAGAUCCUGGUGUCUUAACAGCUGCUGGUAGAAUGGCUGAGGGCCAUAGUGAGUACUUCAGAGGCUUGGUGACUGAUGCGAGGGUGAAGACUCUUCCACUGCUUUUACAGCCCCUCUGCUCUGGUGCUGAGAAGCAGGUACUAUUCCCAUUGCUCAAACCCCAAGGCGCUGAUUAAAACACAUCUAACACUUUUCUAGGAGUUGCCCUUCUAGACUUGACCUUGGGAAUGGCAGCCAUCUCCCUGUUGAGAGCAUUCCAGAUGCUGAGGUUGCCUAGCUGAGCUAACACUCAACUUGGGUGUGGCCUCUGUGUCUCCCUCUUACCCUGCAAAUGUAUGAAGCAAAUGGCUUGAGAUUUCUGUACCAUUCUGUCAGUCAGGAGGAAAGGAGAGUCCCAUAUCUUGGUCAAGAGGAACCUGCCCACAAACUCCAUUUUAGGUUUCCUAGUGUUCUGACUUGAGGAAUAUGCGGAUUUUCCCCCUGCUACCAAUCUAGAAGGCACCACUGCUAAUAAUCUAGUGUUCCAGAAAUGCAUUUUCCCUUGUAGCAUAUGCUUUUAGGCUUUAGAAGGUGCCAGAAUCACCUAAAUGGCUGGGGACUGGUCAGUGGGCACAAUAGAUAAAGGAGUUUCCAUCUAGUCUAAUGAUCUCUUCCAUCUCUGUGAUUUACUUCAUGACGUGGCAGGCACACACCCUCCCCACAAACUAAAUAAGUGUUAUAAACAAAACAACAAAACAAAGACAAAAACAAAACCGCAGUCCUCAUUUCUGAUCCAGCAGGUCUGAGGCAGAGUUUAAGAACCUGAAUUUCUUAUAACUUCCCAAGUGAUGCGAAGGCUGGUCCAGGGAAUAGACUUUCAGAACCAUUGCCAUAUAUCCUCUUAAGAAGGUGUGAAAUGGAAGGUGAUUGACAGGGCAGGGUGAAAGUGUCCCUGAAUCCUUCCACACUCACCUCAUGCUAAAGCUAACAGCAAGUCUUGCAUACUGAAAAACUUCAGUGGAGGGGAGUGAUGGCUUACAGAGGGAUUUGGGUACAGUAGAAUUUUAUCACUUUAUACAUCUAAAGGAUCGUGCCAGGAAUAUAAAUCUUCACACAUCAUAAACUGUUCAUUUUUGUCUUGUGUUUAGUCUUGCAUAUUUUAAAGCCUAGGGGGAGAGUCAAAUCAAGAUAGUUCAAUGAAAACUUAACCAAUGGCAAUUCUUUUAUAUAAAGAUAAUGUUUACCACUGUGCUGCAAAGGGACAGAUAUACUCUGUAUUAAAUGGGAGCUGUGGGCUGAACUUGAAUGUCACUGACUCUGCCAAGAUGGUCCUGGCUCCCAAGGCCUGGCUCCUGUGGCUUCCUAGUGCUGGGCUCUGGCUGCUGAGCCUCAAAGGCAAAUGGGGUUGUUGUGAAAUGCGCUGUUCUUAAUGAAGCUUUUCUUGAACCUGAAGCAUGCGAGGCAAUUACUCUCAAAGUGAGAUGAGAAAUUCGUCCGUUGAAAAGUUGUUGACCUUUCCAGGAUUACUUUUAAAAGAACCGAUUUGUUUUAUUUGACACUCUGGGUAUUAUUUAAUAAAACGCAACAGCCUC